rnacentral:rRNA from 1 species
CGCUGGCGGCACGCCUAACACAUGCAAGUCGAACGAAGUAGCAAUACUUAGUGGCAGACGGGUGAGUAACAUGUAGGUAUCUACCCUUUGGCCUGGAAUAACACGAGGAAACUUGUGCUAAUACCGGAUAAGUCUUUACGGAGAAAGCUUUAUGCACCAUUGGAUGAGCCUGCACUUGAUUAGUUAGUUGGUAGGGUAACGGCCUACCAAGACUUUGAUCAAUAGCUGAUUUGAGAGGAUGAUCAGCCACAUUGGGACUGAGACACGGCCCAAACUCCUACGGGAGGCAGCAGUGGGGAAUCUUGCACAAUGGAGGAAACUCUGAUGCAGCGAUGCCGCGUGAGUGAAGAAGGCCUUUGGGUUGUAAAGCUCUUUCGUCGGGGAAGAAAAUGACUGUACCCGAAUAAGAAGGUCCGGCUAACUUCGUGCCAGCAGCCGCGGUAAUACGAAGGGACCUAGCGUAGUUCGGAAUUACUGGGCUUAAAGAGUUCGUAGGUGGUUGAAAAAGUUGGUGGUGAAAUCCCAGAGCUUAACUCUGGAACUGCCAUCAAAACUUUUCAGCUAGAGUUUGAUAGAGGAAAGCAGAAUUUCUAGUGUAGAGGUGAAAUUCGUAGAUAUUAGAAAGAAUACCGAUUGCGAAGGCAGCUUUCUGGAUCAUUACUGACACUGAGGAACGAAAGCAUGGGUAGCGAAGAGGAUUAGAUACCCUCGUAGUCCAUGCCGUAAACGAUGUGUGUUAGACGUUGGAAAUUUAUUUUCUGUGUCGCAGCGAAAGCGAUAAACACACCGCCUGGGGAGUACGAC